CCAAGAUGACCACAAGAGUGACCUCUGGUCAUCCUCACUGCUACACUCCCACCAGCACCAUGAGAGUUUACAAAUGUCAUGGUAACGUCAGGAAGUUACCCUAUAUGGUCUAAAAAGGGGAGGCAUGAAUAAUACACUCUUGUUUAGCAUAUCAUCAAAAAGUAACCAUAAAAACGGGCCAUCAGCAGCCCUCAGGCCUGCUCUGUCUACGGAGUAGCCAUGCUUUUAUUCCUUUACUUUCCUAACAACAUUUAUUUCCCUUUAUGUACUCGCCCUGAUUCUUUCUUGUGCGAGAUCUAAGAACCCUCUCUUGGGGUCUUGAUCGGGACCCCUUUCUUGUAACACAACUCCUUUUUUUGGAGUUUUACUUGCUUCCAACAAGGAAGGCAAGUUUUCCUGCUUCCAUGACGGUGGAAGGCAGAUAACUCCUUUCCGGAGUUCGAGCCUGCUUUCAACAGGGAAGGCAAAUUUGAGUUUUCCCCUGCUUCUAGAAUGGAAGAUGGCAGUCUUCAGCCUGAGACCCAUUCCUAGUGGGGAAUGGCGGCAGACACCAUCAUACCCAAGCGAUGAGGGUUAUCAUCACCAGCGAUGGCCAGAUUGGCCCCGUGGGCCUCCGGUAGGUUGCUGUAAGAGGAAAGUCUCACUUCUGAGGGGUUCCUCCUGGAAAUGAAGAAGCCACAGGAAACAGGCAAGGCUAGAGCGAGGGCCAUCCCACAAAGACCCAUAAGACCCACAAAGACUCACUGAGACAGCGGGGAAAUUGGCAGGGGCUCUGCGGAGUCGAUGGGGACAUUGGAUCAGUGGUGGCUUCCUGAUUUUUCAAGGUUCACUGCAAUUACUUGGGAGAGAGUUCGUUUAUUUCCAAAAUACUCUCUGAGCUGUUUAGGGGAGCAAGCCUGGAGUCUGCAGCUUAUUCUCAAAUGCCAUAUAAGCAGGAGCGAGAGAAGGAAUAGCGGGGCAAUGUUCACAGAUGGCGAAUCUGCAGGACAGGAAUAUCCGGGUCUCUUUGCACGGUGUUUGCCACCUUCUG
rnacentral:lncRNA from 10 species